rnacentral:rRNA from 1 species
CACGUAGGGUGCGAGCGUUGUCCGGAAUUAUUGGGCGUAAAGAGCUCGUAGGCGGUGUGUCGCGUCGGCCGUGAAAACCUGCAGCUUAACUGUGGGCUUGCGGUCGAUACGGGCAUCACUGGAGUUCGGCAGGGGAGACUGGAAUUCCUGGUGUAGCGGUGAAAUGCGCAGAUAUCAGGAGGAACACCAGUGGCGAAGGCGGAGACCUGGGCCGAU